UUUAGCCAUUCUGUUGACUAUGUAGUAAAAUUUCCCUGUGGUUUUAAUUUGAAUGUAUUUGAUGACUAUGAUGAUAUCCAAUUAUUUCAGCAUCACUUGCUAAAAAUACUUUCCUUUCGUCUUUGGAUUCCACUGGCAACUUUAUUGAAAAAUCAGAUAACUAUGAACACCAAGAGAAGGCGGAAAUCUUCAAGUCAGAAAGAGAGCUCGCUGAAACCUGACCAUGUUGGCACCCUGAUCUUAGACUUCCAGGCUCUGAAACUAUACUUGUUGCAUGGUUUCCAUUCUGUGCUGCCUUCUCUUCUGGACGAUGGGGUUAGGAUAGUGAAUGAGAAGGUUCUGGUAACCAGCAAUCUAAUCUCUACCUUCAUGAGAUUCACUUUUUUUUUUAACUCCCGUAUAAGAGUGAGAACAUGUGACAUUUGACUCUCUGUACUUGGUUUAUUUCAGUUAUCAAAAUGACCUCCAGUUCUAUUCAUGUUGCUAAAAAUGACAAAAUUUCAUUACUUUUUAUGGCUAAAUAAUAUCCCAUUGUAUAUUAUACCACAUUUUCUUUAUCCGUUAAUCUGUUGAUGGGCACUUAAGUUGAUUCAUAUUUUGGCUACUGUGAAUAGUGCUACAAUAAACAUGUAAGUGCAAAUGUCUUUUCGAUAUGUUGAUGUCCUUUCUUUGGAAUAUAUCCUCAGUAGUGGAAUUGCUAGAUCAUAUGGUAGUUCUAUUUUUAGUUUUUUUUUCAGAACUUCCAUACUGUUCUCCAUAGUGGCUUUACUAAUUUACAUUCCCACCAACUGUGUAUGAGGAUUCCCCUUUCUCUGCAUCCUUGCCAGCAUCUGUUAUUGACUGUGUUUUUGAU
rnacentral:lncRNA from 1 species